GGAUGCGUAAAUCGGUUGGCUCAAUUGGUAAGAGCGCUCGGAUGGUACCCUAGAGGCGCGGGUUCAAGUCCCGCACCGUCCA